AUUGAACGCUGGCGGCAGGCCUAACACAUGCAAGUCGAACGGUAACAGGAAGCGGCUUGCUGCUUCGCUGACGAGUGGCGGACGGGUGAGUAAUGUCUGGGAAGCUGCCUGAUGGAGGGGGAUAACUACUGGAAACGGUAGCUAAUACCGCAUAAUGUCGCAAGACCAAAGAGGGGGACCUUCGGGCCUCUUGCCAUCGGAUUUGCCCAGAUGGGAUUAGCUUGUUGGUGGGGUAACGGCUCACCAAGGCGACGAUCCCUAGCUGGUCCGAGAGGAUGACCAGCCACACUGGAACUGCGACACGGUCCAGACUCCUACGGGAGGCAGCAGUGGGGAAUAUUGCACAAUGGGCGCAAGCCUGAUGCAGCCAUGCCGCGUGUAUGAAGAAGGCCUUCGGGUUGCAAAGUACUUUCAGCGGGGAGGAAGGGAGUAAAGUUAAUACCUUUGCUCAUUGACGUUACCCGCAGAAGAAGCACCGGCUAACUCCGUG
rnacentral:rRNA from 1 species